rnacentral:rRNA from 1 species
UACGUAGGGGGCAAGCGUUGUCCGGAUUUAUUGGGCGUAAAAGGCUUGUAGGUGGCCACGCCAAGUCGGAUGUGAAAUCUCCCGGCUCAACUGGGAGGGGUCAUUCGAUACUGGUGGGCUCGAGGCCGGUAGGGGGAAGCGGAAUUCCCGGUGUAGUGGUGGAAUGCGUAGAUAUCGGGAGGAACACCAGUGGCGAAGGCGGCUCCUGGACCGGUUCUGACACUGAGGAGCGAAAGCGUGGGGAGCGGAUCCGGAU